rnacentral:rRNA from 1 species
CGUAAGGCGCCGAAUGAGUCAUUAAAAAAUUAACAUCAUCCGAUCCCUAGUCGGCAUAGUUUAUGGUUAAGACUACGACGGUAUCUGAUCGUCUUCGAUCCCCUAACUUUCGUUCUUGAUUAAUGAAAACAUCCUUGGCAAAAUGCUUUCGCAGUAGUUAGUCUUCAAUAAAUCCAAGAAUUUCACCUCUGACAAUUGAAUACUAAUGCCCCCAACUAUCCCUAUUAAUCAUUACGUCGAUCCUAGAAACCAACAAAAUAGAAUCAAACGUCCUAUUUCAUUAUUCCAUGCUAAUGUAUUCAAGCGUGAGCCUGCUUUAAAC